GCCUCACGAUGGCUGUAUCAUCUUGCUCCCUAAAUGUUCUCCUCCGCUUGCUGCUCCCAGCUUGCUGGUCGGAUUAAAUACAAGACUAGAGACAGAAAGAGGUAUCCUAAGAGGUAAUUUAUGUGUCUUCUCCCUUCUCGGUGGGUUUGGCCUGCCGCAGCUUCCCACAGGAGUGUGUCUUGGGUACGUAAAACCCGGGGGGCAGAACGUUGCCGUGGUUCUUGCGUUCCCAGACUGCCCUUCUGUAUGUGGUCGACAGAUGCCUCUUCGCCUUUCUCAUCUGUCCCUGUCACCUACAAAUUGGGGAGCAAGAGAAGAGUGAUGAAGGUAGAGGGGGGUGCAGAGUGCUAUGCAGGAAGCGAUGUUGCCUCCUGCUUCCACGGGAGGAGAAGAAGCAAGAAAGAAAGAAGGAGCUGCAGUGGAAAAGAAGGAAGCUGCAGUUGCUACAGCAACCAAAAACUAAGAUGUGUUUGGGAGUUGGUGGAAGGUCAGGACACUGCAGAUGCAGAAGAAGAUGAAGAGACAGAGAAGCUGGUGAAGGUUUUCUUGCCUUAAGGGUUUUUGUGCGUGUGCAGUGCGCGAUAUUGGCGUCGUCGGCUCAAUCACUUCUUUUCCUUCCCUAAUCUUUGCCUCCUGUGCUACAUUGUAGAUACUAUCUACUAUUGUUGUUUCUUUGGAAGCUUGUUCA